rnacentral:lncRNA from 1 species
GGCAGAAUUUCUGAAAACUGCAAAGUGAUCCCGCUUUAGGUAACUUUUGCAAAAUCCUGCUCGUCAAUCUCCUGUUCACCCUGCUGGGCUCGUGGUCACUGAUGUUUAGGUUCAUUAUUGUCCCUGUGAUUCCCACAGAUCCUCAAGCCAUUCAUGCAGCUGACUUAUUGGCCUCUUGGUUGAGAACCAACCUUUGCAAUGUCUGACUUGGGACCCCCAGGCCCACGGAAGGAGGAAACUCCAUGUUGCAACCUGUCAAUCACCGCGCAGGACAGUGCUUCUGGCCAGAGCUCCGGGAAAUGACCGUCUGAAGGGCUGUCGGGUUGGGAUCGUGUUCAGGAUCCCAAAGUCGUCGCAUCUGAGUCCUUAAGCCUGUGUGCACCUCCUGUUCACACGCACCUAGGUACGGCUGCUUCUGGUUGUGUUAAACCCUUGAUAUGAUCCCGGUGGAACGGGAGAGGACAAAUCCGACCUCGACUGCAAAACUGUGGUGGCCUCCAAAGCAGUGAGUUGGUACUUAGGGGCAGGGAUGAAGUACUCAGUGUUUUCAUGCUAUGGAAGUACAUUGGAAUAUUACUCUGCCAUGAAAAGGAAGGAAAUCCUUGUACUCAUGAGAACAUUGUGGCGACCAGAGGAAUGAGCCAGGCACAGGAAGACAGGGACGGACCCCUCAACCACGCUCCCGUGGACUGGAGGAAAGUGGGUCUCAGAGAAGAGAUGGGGACAGUGGGGUGGACAGACAGAGGUUGCUAACAGGUGCCAACUUGCGGCUGGAUGGCGGGCGUCACUGCUGGUGGGUGGAGCACAGAGGGUCCUGGACACAAGUGCCCAUGGGGGGGGGGUUAUUGCAGACCAGAAAAGAGGGCUUUGCAGGAAUCUAAUGGACAUAGACCUUCAUCAUCCAGCUGUGUCACCAGCUACCUGCUGCGUCACCUAGAGUGUACGUAUGCAUCUGUCUGUCAGUCAUCUAUCUAGGUAGGUCUAUCUGUCCAUCCAUGCACCCAUCCACCCUUUUGUCCAUCUGUUAUUUAACAACUAGCUGUCUGUCAUCUGUCUACCAACCUGUCUAUCUAUCAUCUACCAAUUCUGUCUAUCUGUCAUCUACGCAUUCUGUCUUUCUAUCUAUGUAUCAUCUAUUAUCUAUCCAUCCUGUCUAUGUAUCUAUCCAUCUGUCUAUCUAUCCAUCUAUCUGCAAUCUACCCAUUUUGUCUAUCUAUCAUCUAUCAUCUACCGAUCCUGUCCAUCUAUCUGUCAUCUGUCUGUCUGUCAUCUACCAAUUCUGCCUGUCCAUCCAUCUCUCUGUCAUCUACCCAUCCUGUCUGUCCAGGUGGCUCUCACACCCUGGGUGGGGCUGCUCCUGGCUCCUGGUGUGUGGGGCCCAGAGAGGCUGCUCCACCUCCUGCAGCGCACAGCACAGCCCACCCCAGAGCACCCUCAGCCCCAGAGGCCCCCAGUGCAGAGGAGACCCGCAGGACAGAGUCUCUGUCCAUCAUCCGUCCACCCAGCUGUCCUUCUGUCUGUCCAUCCAUCUAUCUAUAUCUACCCCCCGUCUCUCUCUCCCUGUCCACCCACCUGCCCACCUGCGCCAUCAGCUCCCCACCCACAUCCUCUACCCUCCGUCUGCGUCUUCUCCUUCCCGUCUCUCCACACCGUCUGUCUGUGACAUGUGUCCAUCGCUGUCCAUCACCUUCUCUCUCUUCAUACUGACUGACGAGGAUCUGCACCUCCACUCGGGGGUCUUGGAGCCCUGGAAGCCCGUCCUCUGCCCUCUGCAUGCAGGACACUCAGCGUCGACCCUGUCCGGGGCCCGAGACCCCACAUGGCCAGGGCUGGCGGCAGCUGCAGGUGACCUGGGCAGCCUGAGGCUCCGUUGAGUGGAAAUGCCCGGAGCCUAGCACUCGGGAGCCUGUGCCUGGGUACGGGCAGGAGAUCCCGGGGACAGGUGCCUGUGGACAUGUCUUCACAUGGCACCGAGGGCUUCAUUUGUUCCUGAUUUCCACGAUGAUGUGGGGUGGUAUCCCCCUGGAGUGAGACGGCGGUGAGGGGCCACCCGCCCAGGGCCACCUGGAGCCCAGGAGCUGGACAGGCAGGAGGAGCCCCCUGGAGCCCUGGAGGGAGCUCAGCCUGGGACCCUGGUCUCCACCCUCUGGAGUGACAGGUGACUCUUGGCAACAGCCCGAGGUUCCUUGUCUGCAGGGCUCCCACCUCCUGAGCCCAGAUCUUGGCUCAUAAGCUCCAUCCCGCGGCAUCUGCAGACACAGCAACUGGAGGCCACUCACGGCCAUUGCCUGGUCACUUUCACCAGGACACGUGCACCUGGGUCCCUGCCUGGUGUCCCUGGGGUCCCUGCACUAUCGGGCACCUGAGUCUCCCUUUACCCCCCAGGGUCCUCACGCAGCUCAUUCAGCCCCAUGGGCUCAGCCAGGCUGGCCUCCCUCUCCAGCCUCCUUCCCUCUGCAGCCUCCCUCCCUCUCCAGCCGGUUUGCAGAGCCCCUCGCAAGCCGCCUCACCCCGUGCAGCAGCCUGAACGGGGCCUUUGUUUGUUGCAGACUGAAUUCUUUCUUCUUCCUCCAAAGCCCUGGAGUCAGAUUUCAAAGGAGAGAUUAGCUUGUGUUCAGCCUCUGAGCCGAGUGAAUCGCUCCUGUCUGUUUCCACAGAGUCCAACGUCCCCAAUUAUUAUUCCCCGGGGGCUCCUUUGUUGCUGGGGCACAUUCCAACCCCCCAGCUGCCCUGUCCGGCCUAUUGUGCAAUUCAAAAACUUGCUUUGGAGCCAGAGGAUCUCCCUGGGAGAGACGGACAGCUUUGGAAAUUGGGCGGCUGUCAGGCAGGUGUGCAUCAGGGCGAGAUAGAAAACGGUCUGGAGUUCACGCACCAGGGGAAGGGUCAGGAGGCAGGGCUGGGGGACCAAGAAUGGUUCACGUUUGUGACCACGGUGCAAAGCGCUUUCAGGGUCCCAACCCGAGAAAGCCGCUCAGCACACUAGGUGAAGCGUGCGGUGUGCAAAAUACUUCCACUAAAAGACAAUCAUCAGCAGUGGCUUCUAAGGCAAAGCAAGGGACAUUUUUUUUCCCCAGUGGAAAAACAUGAUUUAUAUUUAUCACUACUUCUUGAAAUAUUUGUUUAGUGAUAGACGGACACAAUACCUUUAUUUUAUUUAUUUUCAUGUGGUGCUGAGGACGAAACCCAGGGCUCACAUUUGCUAAGCGAGGUCUCUGCCACUCAGCCCCAGUCUCAGCCCCUCGUAUACAUCCUUGGUGACUGUCCUUGGUGAGCUGCCUUUGCUGUGACUCAUAGAAUAAAAGACACGCAUGGGACUUUGUGGGUGAAAGGAGAUUCACAACACGCAGCAGAUGGUUUUCUACAAAUUGCAAAGAGGAAUGUAGGUAGCAGAUCAUGCAAGUAUUUGUUUUAAAGAACUUACAAUGUACCUUGGCUGCUGUGAGUCGUGCUGCUGUAAACAGUCAAAUUCAGGCAUAUUUAGGGUUCACUGAUUUCAGCCAGCCCAGGUGUCCAUCUGUGGACAAACGGAUACAGAACAAUGUGGUGUAUGUGCACAAGGGAGUAUCACUGAGCCAUGAAGAAGGAAUUAUGGUCUUGGCUCCGAAUAUCAAUGUUUUCUUUCAUAUAUGGGAAUUGGAGAGGAAAAAAGGAGUCACAACAAACCCCGUGACUAGGUACGAAUAUCCUGCAUUAAUAGGAAAAGAAGGUAAAGCACAUGAUCUCGAGGUGUUUGUGUUUUAUUCCCAGAUGUUGAGGUUCAACAUCUGAGAUUGGUUUGUUUGAAAGAAAAAGAGCAAAAAUCUCUGACAAAAAGACACGGAUAAAAGCCAAGUUUACGGUGAAUUUUAGGGAAAGCCACGGCCUGAAGACUACAUGUAAUAUGGAAUAUAAAAAUGGGCUCCUUUCUUAUUUGUGAUUGUGCAGAGCCCUCAACGUCUGUGAGUCCUGAGUUCAGGAAUAUUGACAGCAAGUAUUCACACGUACAUACAUUUGUGCUAAUCACAAUUUUUUUUUGUUACUGGAGACUGAACCUAGAAGUGCUUAACCACUGAGCCACAUUCCCGCCAUUUUUAUUAUGAUUAUUAUUUUCUAUUUAGAGUCAGAGUCUUGCUGACUUGCUAGAGGUCUUUAUGACUUGCUGAGGCUGGCCUCCAACUUGUGAUCCUCCUGCCUCAGCCUCCUGAGUCACUGGGAUCCCAGGCAAGCCCCUUCAUACCCAGUCUUAAGGGAAUAGAAAGGAUGUCCAUCAAUCAAGAAAUUAAGUAGGUUCAAAUUGAGCCGUCUUUGACUCCUCUCACUGACAUUAAUCCUUUGGGGACAUACUUAUUUUUAUCUGUUUAUAUGUUUGAAUAUUUCUGGGGGCUGGGCCAUGGUAUGGAAAUGCCCAUGUGUCAUUAAGGUCCCUACUAAAAACCGGAUCUUUCCAUGGAAGCCUGAAUUGCUGUCCCCAUGCUUCUGUGACCACAGGCCAUUGGUGGGUACUAACAUCGCUUAUUUAUUUCUUCUUGGAGUCCAAGUUGAAGCAGAUCCUGAACCCCACCUGUUGGGAGUGGCCCCGGCUCCAAAGACUAACUUCCCCAUCCCCCUAGAAGAGCCGUCCAAUGGUAAGCCCUGCUGGCUCACCUGAUCCUUACCCACCUAUCAGACUAGCCCUGCUGGCUCACAGGAUCCUUACCCACCAAUCAGAAAGCACCCCAUGCCAAGUGUCAAAACGUUCAACCAUUAAACUGUCAUAACUGUCAAACCACCCCCGGCUCUAUAAAUAUGCAGAGCUGUUCCUCAAUAAAUGGGCAUUUUCUCCAAGGUCAUGCCUUGAUCGUUCUUUCAACACCCAUGGCCUCUUUGGUGUUAAUUGGGACUACGCCAUCAUUUCCCCUACUCAAAUUUCUUCUUUGCUUUGGAAUUUCUGCCCUUAAUCAGCCGCCAUCUUGGUUUUGUGUUCCAAUGGGAUCUUGGGCUCUGGGUGGCUCUCAGCAAGCCAAGACUUGUCCCGGGGUCCUAAGAAUAUCUUAUCUUCUUAUGGUGGGGCUUGAAGUUGGACAAGGAUACUUGUGUACCUCUCCCAAGUGGGUUCUCCAAUCUGUUGAUAUAGUCAUCCUUAGGAAGCCUUAUAGAAAUAAAGGAGAGUAAAUGGUUUUACCUAAAUUAAAAAAAUAAUGGAUUUCCCAAAGGAGGCUCCCCCUCUAGAUAAUGGCUCCAAUUCCUAAGGCGAUAAAUACAGAAAUUCAGAGUCAGCAUUGAGAACCCUUUAUAGCAAUUGGUCGCAGUGACUCGAUGCCGACUAGAAUUCAAAAAAAAAAAAAAAUUGAAAGUCUAGGAAGAAAUAAAUGGAGGAAAAGAGUUUCCAUAAAGUUUUAAACCAAGUCAUAUGUGACCUUGGACACUUGUACAAUGUCAUUGUCAGCAGGAUCAUCAGAGUAACUUUAAGCCAAAGGAGAGGAAGGUUCUUCACAAAAGACAAUGCAUAUAACUCAGUGUUACCACACUUACAAUGUUGAAUAUUAGAUAUUUUUUGUAUUUCACCUUCUCAACACAACCAGUUCCCGUCCCCAAUGACCUGUCCCAGGUAACUCUAAUUUCAAAUCCUAUUAGUAUAUGGUUUAGUCAACUUUUUCACUGUUGUGGUCAAAAGACCUGACAAGAAAAAUUAAAAGAGGAAAACUCUAUUUGGGCUCAUGGUUUCCAAGGUCCAGUCCAUGGUUGGCUGACUCCAUGGCUCUGGCCCAAGGGGAGCAGAACAAAAUGGCGGCAGGGCCUGGAGGAGGAGAGCAGCUCAGGACAGGGCACCAGGGAGCAGAGAGAGCUCUGCUCACCAGGGACAGGAUAGAGACCCCAAAGGCACAGCCCAGGGACCCCGUCCUCCAACCACACCCCACCUGCUGCAGUCACCACCCAGUGAGUCCAUCCAAGUGGAUUAAUCCACUAUUAGUCUACACCUCUCAUAACCCACUAAUUCCACUCUGAAUGACCUUGCAUUUUCUGACACAUGAGGUUUUGGAGAUCACCUCCUAUCUGAAUCUUAGCAGUAUAAUGUUGCCUUUUUAAGAGUUUUAUGUAAAUGGAAUUGUACACUCAUGGACUAUUUGGGGCUUGAUUUGUUUCACCAAGUGUGAUGUCUCAGAAAUAUGGUUUUUCAUGCACAGCCAUAUAUAUAUGUAUACUUUUUCACUGCUGAGUGGUCUAUCAAGCAUUCAGCAGUGGAUGGAAAUGUGGUCGGCUUCCAGUUUUAGACAAUUAUGAAUCAUGGCUCUACCUCCCUUUGUGCCCAGAGGAUAGGGAGAGCAUAGAUUUUUCUUUCACGUGGGUAAACACCGAGGAGGGGCACUGUUAAGUUGGAUGGAAAAAUCUAUAUUCAGCUUUAUAAGGAAUCGAC